UAUUUUGGACAAUGGGCGGAAGCCUGAACCAGCCAUGCCGCGUGCAGGAUGACUGCCCUAUGGGUUGUAAACUGCUUUUGUCCAGGAAUAAACCCAGAUACGUGUAUCUGGCUGAAUGUAAUGGAAGAAUAAGGAUUGGCCAACUCCGUUCCUGCAGCCGCGGUAAUACGGAGGAUCCGAGCGUUAUCCGGAUUUAUUGGGUUUAAAGGGUGCGUAGGCGGCCAAUUAAGUCAGGAGUGAAAUACGGUGGCUCAACCAUCGCAGUGCCUUUGAUACUGAUCGGCUUGAAUCCAUUUGAAGUGGGCGGAAUAAGACAAGUAGCGGUGAAAUGCAUAGAUAUGUCUUAGAACUCCGAUUGCGAAGGCAGAUCACUAAGCUGGUAUUGACGCUGAUGCACGAGAGCGUGGGGAUCGAACAGG
rnacentral:rRNA from 1 species